CCUGUAAUAUCGUUCGCAUGACCUUGUUUAUCGAUAGACGCUCCUUCCACCAUUAAGAAGAAACCUUUAUCAUUUUUAGAAAGGCGCUCAAGUGCAGCGUUUUG
rnacentral:sRNA from 1 species